rnacentral:rRNA from 1 species
UGCAAGUCGAGCGGUAGAGAGAAGCUUGCUUCUCUUGAGAGCGGCGGACGGGUGAGUAACACGUGGGCAACCUGCCCUGCAGACUGGGAUAACUUCGGGAAACCGGAGCUAAUACCGGAUAACACCGAAAACCGCAUGGUUUUCGGUUGAAAGGCGGCUUUUAGCUGUCACUGCAGGAUGGGCCCGCGGCGCAUUAGCUAGUUGGUGAGGUAACGGCUCACCAAGGCGACGAUGCGUAGCCGACCUGAGAGGGUGAUCCCCCACACUGGUACUGAGACACGGCCCAGACUCCUACGGGAGGCAGCAGUAGGGAAUCUUCCGCAAUGGACGAAAGUCUGACGGAGCAACGCCGCGUGAGCGAAGAAGGUCUUCGGAUCGUAAAGCUCUGUUGUCAGGGAAGAACAAGUGCCGUUCGAACAGGGCGGUACCUUGACGGUACCCGACGAGGAAGCCACGGCUAACUACGUGCCAGCAGCCGCGGUAAU